AAUAUAUAACUUUACUGGAAGAUACUUUCUUGAUAUCUUUUGGGUUUGGCUCCCAAUUCAUAUAAAAUCCAUUUAUAAGAGAAUUGAUAUUUACUGAAGCACUUUGAGCAACCCUUAACAACCCCGAUUUGACUCAUUGUGAAUGGCUGAUAAAAUAAUAUAAAAGCAAUAUGUUUUUUCUCCUCAUUUUUGCUUCUUUUCUUCCCCGAGUCUGUCUCUCUCUUCUCAUCACACACAAAACGGCAAAUCGCCACCGAUUGAUACAACAAAUCGGAAAAUCAGUGGUUGAGGAAAACGAUGGCCACUCCGAUCGACUUAAGCGUGAGAUGUGACGCUUCGGUUCUCACAACGACCUACCUCCUUCUGCGACAUCGACGGCUGCCGUUACUUCUGAUGGCUCUUAUGUGAACGGCGAGGUCCACCGGGAGACGAAUCGGACAGAGAAGGUUUGUAUUCUCAUCACUUAAUUAUUGAUCUCGUUGUUAAUGUUAGAGCUUAGGUAAAAUUCGAUUUGAUUGUGAGAGUGGGUACUGUUUGAUGUUUAAUUGGUUUGUGAUUUGUAUGGGUUUACGGGUUGGGGCUUAAAUUGAUUGUUCAUCAGCUUCACAUUGGGAGUGGAUUCUCGUAGUUGAAAAGAAGAUGGUUACCUUCGGGAAGAAGCUCAAGGAACGGAGCAUUCAAGAAUGUCAAGGAUAUUACACCAAUUACAAACUGAUGAAGAGAUCUAGGUGAAGCAGUACAGUCGCCAGCUAGAACCAGAACAGUCCUAGUUCUGGAGUUGGAAUAAGGACAAAGGACACACUUGUCCUAUAAAAGCAAAGGAAUGUUAUUGUCUAGUAAACUGGAUUUGUGUAAAAACUGAAAAGGCUUGUAUUAAAAGGGUGUGUCCCUUGCUGGACCUGAUGGUCGUGUCUUUGGUGGUGGACUUGCUGGUCUCUUUAUAACCGCUGAUCCUGUUCAGGUGAUGGUAGGGAGCUUUGCAUCGGGUCAGGAGGAAACGCAGCAGCAGCAGCAGAUAAAGAAGCAAAGAAGGGAAAGACUCGGGGUCCCGACAUCAACACAAGCUUCUAAACAUCUCAUUCGGUGGAUCAGCGGAAGAUCCAAAGGCUAGAUACGGGCUCAACAAGCCUGUUGUUAUUUAACCACCAACCGUGUCUGCACCACCACCUGUGUCCUUUUCGCAUGAGCCAAGUACUAACACAACGAAUCUGACAUCGAGGUUCCAAGCUGAUGAUUUGAUGGAGUGACUCCCCUGACAUUGAUCAACCAUGAUCUUGAGUUGCUGCGGCGGUUUAUCUUUGAUGUCUUUUGAUUUGUUUAGAGUGUAAUUAUAAUGGUAUUUUUUUCUCAGAUUGUAGCUGUUUUUCGUAAACAGAGAUGUGUAGUUGCAGCUAUGUCAAAAGUAUAUUAUAAUUGGUGUGUUCUCAAAAACUCUAUUUUAAUCUAUAAUAAUAUAAUAUGUUCACUGAA